GCUGGCGGCGUGCCUAACACAUAGCAAGUCGAACGAAGCGAUGGGGAACGGAGGAUUCGUCAAAGGGAACCAUGACUAGUGGCGGACGGGUGAGUAAUGUAUGAGCAACCUGCCUUCAGAGGGGGACAACAGUUGGAAACGACUGCUAAUACCGCAUAACAUAUUUGGGUGGCAUCACCUGGAUAUCAAAGGAGCAAUCCGCUGAAAGAUGGGCUCAUAUCUGAUUAGCUAGUUGGCGGGGUAACGGCCCACCAAGGCGACGAUCAGUAGCCGGACUGAGAGGUUGAACGGCCACAUUGGGACUGAGAUACGGCCCAGACUCCUACGGGAGGCAGCAGUGGGGAAUAUUGGGCAAUGGGCGAGAGCCUGACCCAAGCAACGCCGCGUGAAGGAAGAAGGUCUUCGGAUUGUAAACUUCUUUUAUGAGGGACGAAGGACGUGACGGUACCUCAUGAAUAAGCCACGGCUAACUACGUGCCAGCAGCAGC
rnacentral:rRNA from 1 species